rnacentral:lncRNA from 1 species
GACCAUCCAGUGGGGAGGGGUCCUGCUUGGACCACUUCAUCUUGAGUCAUCUCUGCAUAGCCAGCAUAGUGUACCCCAUUUUCUAUGAAGUUGCUCCCAUCCUUGAGCAGGAAGGAAUCAACCUCAGGCAGGGGGUCUUUUCUGCAGAUCUAGAUGACUGGAUAACAAUUCGUCAGUGACCCUGAGGCAGUCGUGGUCAGGGGGCCAGAUUCCGAGGGCAAAAAAGUAGCAGGGUUUAAGGUUUUAACUGGAGCAAAAUAUAAGGGGGGAUUUUCACAGAUGAGGGCCUGAUAUUAUGUGACUCUAUUAUUUGAGAGCCAUCAAUGUCCUGUUAUUCAAUAGUUCUAAAAGGCAUGGGAAAACUGAAUAAUUUACUUUUUCCUAAUGUUAUCUGGUCAGCUUUCUCAAUUAGCAUUACUGCAGCUGCCAGGGCUUUAUAAACAAAACAAAGGAACUAUCUCUUCACAACUGGAUCUAAACUCUAAGAUAAAUAUAUCACUGGUUAAUUCUAUGGGCCUAUUCCUUCAAGGAGCACCCCUAAAAAGCAG